AACAGAAAACCAAGCAGUGGAUUGUGUAUUAAAAGAAGUCAAAUAAAGAAUACACAUAUAUUGCAGAACUUGAAGGCAGUAUAAUGGAGUCCUUGUGCAUGUAAUACAAGGAGUAAGAAUUCCAAAGACCAUGACAGCAUUUCUGCCAAUUUAUCAGGCCUCCUAAAUCCUGGAUCAAGGCUUUUACUUUCAGAAAUGAAAAGAAGAAAAAAGUGUGCUGCUGCCUCUAGAAAAUGAUUUCUGCUUGGAAGUGUCCCCUGGUGACAUUGAUUGUGCUCUGGCUAGCAUAAGGAUGGUAAUAAGCUGACAACAGUAAUUGUGAGAUCUCCGAAAUACAUGUAUACCAAUUCUGAUGUAGGAGGACCUUAUCAUAGAGGAAGAGUGAACAUCAUAACAUUACCAGAUAGCCAACCUAUGUAUAAGAUAAUAAUACAUCAUACUUCCUGCAUACUUGUGUUUUAUUUGAAUGGACAGCAAGGAUUUUGGCAAUUGGUACAUGUACAACCUCUUCUCUUGCAUCGCAGGUUUAAAAUUUGCCUUUUUUCACAGGGAAAGUACCAGUAAAUGUUAAAUUUCAUAAUACAUGUGCUUUAUUUCUCAUAGGAUCUUUUUACUUUUAAAAUUUAUAUUUAGUACUUUUAUUUUCAUUAACAU